AUCGAUGAAGAACGCAGCGAAUUGCGAUAUGUAAUGUGAAUUGCAGAAUUCAGUGAAUCAUCGAAUCUUUGAACGCACAUUGCACCCUCAGGUCUUUUCCAGAGGGUAUGCCUGUUUGAGUGUCGUUGACCCAUCAAUGCAGACAAGUCUUUUUUGAUUUGCUUUCUGUACUUGGAAGUUGAAGGCUGCCGGCGUCAUUGCCAGCUCCUUUUAAAUUUAUUAGCGGGACUUUGAAGACUCGGCUUCAGUUUGAUAAUGCAUCUAUGCUGUCGCCGAAGAACGUUUGUCUGGCUUAUAGCUGUCCCUUUGGGACUGUCUCUUAUGAGGCACAACGCAAUCAACUCUUGACCUCAAAUCAGGUAGGACUACCCGCUGAACUUAAGCAUAUCAAUAAGCGGAGGAAAAGAAACUAACCAGGAUUCCCCUAGUAACGGCGAGUGAAGAGGGAAAAGCUCAAAUUUAAAAUCUGGCAGUCUCCUUUGAUUGUCCGAGUUGUAAAUUAGAGAAGUGUUAUCCGCGCUGGACCGUGCAAAAGUCUCUUGGAAAGGAGCAUCAUAGAGGGUGACAAUCCCGUCUUUGGCACGGACUACCAGGGCAUUUGUGAUGCGCUCUCGAAGAGUCGAGUUGUUUGGGAAUGCAGCUCUAAAUGGGUGGUAAAUUCCAUCUAAAGCUAAAUAUUGGCGAGAGACCGAUAGCGCACAAGUACCGUGAGGGAAAGAUGAAAAGGACUUUGAAAAGAGAGUUAAACAGUACGUGAAAUUGUUGAAAGGGAAACGCUUGAAGUCAGUUCAUGUCCUUCAGAAAUCAACUUUGAUCUUCGGGUCGAGUGCACUUUCUGUUGUGACGGGUCAGCAUCAAUUUUGACCGCCGGAGAAAGGCUUGGGGAAAGUGACAUCCUUGCUGAUGUGUUAUAGCCCCUUGUACGUAUACGGUGGUUGGGAUUGAGGAACGCAGCGCAUUAACUGGGGCGAAUUCUGCUCACACAUGUGCUUAGGAUGCUGGCUUAAUGGCUUUAAUCGACCCGUCUUGAAACACGG
rnacentral:rRNA from 1 species